AUGCUUAUGGAAAAUGCCGGAUCACCACCGUGUGCGCCCCAGCACGGCGCUCCGGCGUGCUGCGUGGCCGUGCUUCGGCGCUCCGGCGAGGCACUCGUGUGGCAGUAUACACGCACACACACAAAAAAAGGGAAAAGAAAGACUCCCCCCGCGCGCGCGGUCACCCGCGGAACACCAAUGCCAGCGGCGGCGCUGCCCCGUGGCGUCCAGGCGGUGCUGGUGACCUCCGGCCAACUCCGCAACCUCGACCCGCAGCUCCAGGUGCCCCCGCUCCUCCUCGCCAACACCCUCAUCGCCGCCUUCUCCCGCGCCGCGCUCCCUCGCCUCGCCUUCCCGCUCCUCCGCCACCUCCUGCGCCGCGCCCGCCCCCUCCGCCCCGACGCCUUCACCUUCCCGCCGCUCAUCCGCGCGGCCCCGGCCCACGCCUCCGCGGCGCAGCUCCACGCCUGUGCGCUCCGGCUCGGCCUCCUCCGCCCGUGCGUCUUCGCGUCGGGCUCCCUCGUGCACGCCUACCUCCGCUUCGGCUGCGUGGAGGAGGCCUACGGGGUGUUCGACGAAAUGCCCGGGCGGGACCUGCCCGCCUGGAACGCGAUGCUGUCCGGGCUGUGCCGCAACGCCUGCGGCGCCGAGGCCGUGCGCCUGCUCGGGCGGAUGGCGGGGGAGGGCGUCGCCGGCGACUCGGUGACGGUCUCGAGCGUGCUGCCCAUGUGCGCGCUGCUCGGGGACUGGGUGCUUGCGCUGGUCAUGCACGUGUACGCGGUGAAGCACGGGCUGGACAGGGAGCUCUUCGUGUGCAAUGCGAUGAUCGAUGUGUAUGGAAAGCUCGGGAUGCUGGAGGAGGCUCGUCGGGUGUUUGAUGGAAUGGAGCGCCGCGAUCUGGUGACGUGGAACUCGAUCAUCUCAGGGUAUGAGCAGGGUGGGCAGGCCGCCGCUGCGGUCAAGAUGUUUCAUGGUAUGAGGGACAGUGGGGUUUCCCCUGACGUGCUGACGCUUGUGAGUCUGGCAUCUGCUAUCGCACAGUGUGGAGAUGACCGCGGUGGGAAGUCAGUGCACUGCUAUGUGACGCGGCGGGGGUGGGAUGUGGGUGACAUAAUUGCAGGGAAUGCUAUGGUUGAUAUGUACGCGAAGCUAUCAAAGAUUGAGGCUGCCCAGAGGAUGUUUGAGAUCAUGCCAGUUCGAGAUGCCGUGUCUUGGAACACUUUGAUCACGGGGUAUAUGCAGAAUGGACUUGCAAACGAGGCAAUCGAGGCGUAUGGUUGUAUGCAGAAGCAUGAGGGUCUGAAGCCUAUUCAAGGGACAAUUGUCAGUGUUUUGCCUGCAUACUCACAACUUGGUGCCUUGCAGCAGGGCAUGCGGAUGCAUGCUCUGUCUGUUAAGACUGGAUUCAAUCUGGAUGUGUAUCUGGCGGACGCAAUGCUUUUCUUUGAAAAAAUGCCUAAAAGGAGUAGGAGUACAGGUCCCUGGAAUGCCAUCAUGGCUGGCCUUGGAGUUCAUGGGCAUGCCGCAGAGGCUCUCAGUGUCUUCUCACGAAUGCAGCAGGAAGGAGUUAAUCCUGAUCAUGUCACAUUUGUUUCACUGUUGGCUGCCUGUAGUCAUGCUGGCUUAGUUGACCAAGGCCGGAGUUUCUUUGAUAUGAUGCGUAUAACAUACGGCAUUAUCCCCAUUGCAAAACAUUAUGCGUGCAUGGUUGACAUGCUUGGCAGAGUUGGUCAGCUACAGGAAGCUUUUGAUUUUAUACAUAACAUGCCAAUUAAACCUGAUUCUGCUGUUUGGGGCGCUCUGCUUGGUGCUUGCAGGAUUCAUGGGAAUGUUGAAAUGGGCAAAGUGGUUUCGCAAAACCUGUUUGAACUUGAUCCAGAGAAUGUUGGAUAUUAUGUUCUAAUGUCGAACAUGUAUGCGAAGGUUGGGAAAUGGGAUGGAGUUGACGAAGUGCGGUCUUUGGUCAGACACCAAAAUUUAGGUGAAAAGAUCAGUGAAUGUGUUUACAGUGGCAACCAGACAGAACCCCACCCUCAACACGAAGAGAUCCAGGCAGAGCUGCAGAAUCUGUUGGCCAAAAUGAGAAGUAUAGGUUAUGUUCCUGACUACAGUUUUGUCCUACAGGAUGUAGAGGAGGAUGAAAAGCAACACAUCUUGAAUAAUCACAGUGAGAGAUUAGCUAUUGCCUUUGGCAUCAUAAAUACUCCUCCAAGAACUCCGCUCCAUAUAUACAAGAAUUUGCGUGUGUGUGGGGAUUGCCACAAUGCCACCAAAUAUAUAUCGAAAAUAACUGAGAGAGAGAUCAUUGUCCGGGAUUCAAAUCGGUUCCACCACUUUAAACAUGGUCAUUGUUCUUGUGGGGAUUUUUGGUAA
rnacentral:rRNA from 1 species